rnacentral:rRNA from 1 species
UACGUAGGGUGCGAGCGUUGUCCGGAAUUAUUGGGCGUAAAGAGCUUGUAGGCGGUUUGUCGCGUCUGCUGUGAAAAUCCGGGCUCAACCCCGGACUUGCAGUGGGUACGGGCAGGCUAGAGUGUGGUAGGGGAGACUGGAAUUCCUGGUGUAGCGGUGGAAUGCGCAGAUAUCAGGAGGAACACCGAUGGCGAAGGCAGGUCUCUGGGCCACUACUGACGCUGAGAAGCGAAAGCAUGGGGAGCGAACAGG